rnacentral:misc_RNA from 1 species
AGCAGUGGCUGAACUGCAUCAGCAAUAGAAACACUAGAAGGAAGAUUCAAAAAUAGCGAAGCUAAUUCACAUGUCAUGGGAAGAUUGAGCAAUAAACGGCUGCAGUGUCUCAUGCAUGAUGCAACCUCAAAUUUGUCAGCAGCCAUAAGCACAUCAAGCAUAGCAGUAGCUGGUAUCGUAGACAAAGUAUUGCUAUACAUGAAUUGUAGUAACUUUACGAAGGCAGCUUCUUCCGAGGCA